GGGUUGUGAGGUUAAGCGACUAAGCGUACACGGUGGAUGCCCUGGCAGUCAGAGGCGAUGAAGGGCGUGCUAAUCUGCGAUAAGCGCCGGUAAGGUGAUAUGAACCGUUAUAACCGGCGAUACCCGAAUGGGGAAACCCAGUGUGAUUCGUCACACUAUCAUUAACUGAAUCCAUAGGUUAAUGAGGCGAACCGGGGGAACUGAAACAUCUAAGUACCCCGAGGAAAAGAAAUCAACCGAGAUUCCCCCAGUAGCGGCGAGCGAACGGGGAGGAGCCCAGAGCCUGAAUCAGCAUGUGUGUUAGUGGAAGCGUCUGGAAAGGCGCGCGAUACAGGGUGACAGCCCCGUACACAAAAGCGCAUGUGCUGUGAGCUCGAUGAGUAGGGCGGGACACGUGGUAUCCUGUCUGAAUAUGGGGGGACCAUCCUCCAAGGCUAAAUACUCCUGACUGACCGAUAGUGAACCAGUACCGUGAGGGAAAGGCGAAAAGAACCCCGGCGAGGGGAGUGAAAAAGAACCUGAAACCGUGUACGUACAAGCAGUGGGAGCACCCUUUGGGGUGUGACUGCGUACCUUUUGUAUAAUGGGUCAGCGACUUAUAUUCUGUAGCAAGGUUAACCGUAUAGGGGAGCCGGAGGGAAACCGAGUCUUAAUUGGGCGUUAAGUUGCAGGGUAUAGACCCGAAACCCGGUGAUCUAGCCAUGGGCAGGUUGAAGGUUGGGUAACACUAACUGGAGGACCGAACCGACUAAUGUUGAAAAAUUAGCGGAUGACCUGUGGCUGGGGGUGAAAGGCCAAUCAAACCGGGAGAUAGCUGGUUCUCCCCGAAAGCUAUUUAGGUAGCGCCUCGUGAAUUCAUCUCCGGGGGUAGAGCACUGUUUCGGCUAGGGGGCCAUCCCGGCUUACCAACCCGAUGCAAACUGCGAAUACCGGAGAAUGUUAUCACGGGAGACACACGGCGGGUGCUAACGUCCGUCGUGAAGAGGGAAACAACCCAGACCGCCAGCUAAGGUCCCAAAGUCAUGGUUAAG
rnacentral:rRNA from 1 species